CCUACGGGAGGCUGCAGUGAGGAAUAUUGGUCAAUGGACGAGAGUCUGAACCAGCCAAGUAGCGUGAAGGAUGACUGCUCUAUGGGUUGUAAACUUCUUUUAUAUGGGAAUAAAAUGUUCCACGUGUGGGAUUUUGUAUGUACCAUAUGAAUAAGGAUCGGCUAACUCCGUGCCAGCAGCCGCGGUAAUACGGAGGAUCCGAGCGUUAUCCGGAUUUAUUGGGUUUAAAGGGAGCGUAGGUGGAUUGUUAAGUCAGUUGUGAAAGUUUGCGGCUCAACCGUAAAAUUGCAGUUGAAACUGGCAGUCGUGAGUACAGUAGAGGUAGGCGGAAUUCGUGGUGUAGCGGUGAAAUGCUUAGAUAUCACGAAGAACUCCGAUUGCGAAGGCAGCUCACUGGACUGCAACUGACACUGAGGCUCGAAAGUGUGGGUAUCAAACAGGAUUAGAUACCCUGGUAGUC
rnacentral:rRNA from 1 species